GGCUUAUUAAUGAUUUUAAGUCAAUUCUGCCCAAUGAUUAAUGGCUGCAGUAUAUUGACUGUACAAAGGUAGCAUAAUCAAUUGUUUUUUAAUUAAGAACUGGAAUGAAAGAGUUAAUGAGAUAUAUACUGUCUCAUAUAUAUUUAAUUAAUUUAAAUUUUUAGUUAAAAUGCUAAAAUUAAUUUAUGGGACGAUAAGACCCUAUAGAAUUUGAUAUUUGGGAGGAUAAGUAAAUUUAUAAAACUUUAUUAUAUUAACUUUAAUUAAAGAAUGGUCUUUUAAUAAAAAUUAAAAGAAUAAAUUACCUUAGGGAUAACAGCGUAAUAUCUUUUUAAAGAUCACAUUGAAAAAGAUGAUUGCGACCUCGAUGUUGAAUUAAGAUAAAUUUUAAAUGAAGAAAUUUAAUAAUUAAGUCUGUUCGACUUUUAAAAUCUUACAUGAUUUGAGUUCAAAUCGACGUAAGU
rnacentral:rRNA from 1 species